GGUUGAUCCUGCCAGUAGUCAUAUGCUUGUCCCAAAGAUUAAGCCAUGCAUGUCUAAGUAUAAAUCUUUGUACGGUGAAACUGCGAAUGGCUCAUUAUAUCAGUUAUAAUUUAUUUGAUGAUCACUUUACUACUUGGAUAACCGUGGUAAUUCUAGAGCUAAUACAUGCAAAGAACCCAACUUCUGGAAGGGUUGUAUUUAUUAGAUUAAAACCAAUGCCAGCAAUGGCGCUUGGUGAGUCAUGAUAACUGCGCGGAUCGCAUGGCCUUGUGCCGGCGACGCUUCAUUCAAAU
rnacentral:rRNA from 1 species